UACGUAGGGUGCGAGCGUUGUCCGGAAUUACUGGGCGUAAAGAGCUCGUAGGCGGUUUGUUGCGUCGGCUGUGAAAUCCCGAGGCUCAACCUCGGGUCUGCAGUCGAUACGAGCAAACUAGAGUGUUGCAGGGGAGACUGGAAUUCCUGGUGUAGCGGUGGAAUGCGCAGAUAUCAGGAGGAACACCGAUGGCGAAGGCAGGUCACUGGGCCGCAACUGACGCUGAGGAGCGAAAGCAUGGGGAGCGAACAGG
rnacentral:rRNA from 1 species